rnacentral:lncRNA from 1 species
AUUAAUUAUAGAAUAAUUUUUCAAAUGAUUCUACGUCUUGCGUAUAGUAGUUACGAUUCGAUUCGUGUGAUUUUCUGUUAUUAUGUUUUAUUCUAUUAUCUCUUGUACAAUUUUAUAAUAUUUCGAAUUUUUGCAGGAUGUAUUAUCAUCUAAACACAGAAUUGAGACGGAUGCCGCGCAAGCUACUGUGGAACAGUAGUCUUGACAGUUUCACCACUAUACUGGAGUUGCUCGAUGAUCAGCAUGAAAAUAUGCUGCGACAGUCCUUUCUAUGGCCCCUGUACCAGUUAAGAGAUGUGUAGUACUCAGGUCAGAUCAUCGAUGCACUUCUAUGUCAGUUGCUAGUCCAAUCGACGGAGUUGCUCUCCACUUUAACCUCAGGGGCAAAGUCAUAGCUAGUGAUGGGUCUCAGAAAAGAAAUAGGCUGUAGUACGCUUACUUUCACGGACAGAGGACGGUGAUUUUGCCUCAGCUGAUCAACGCAAUCAAGAGGUGUGACCAUAUGUUAGACAGACUGAAGUUAGGUCUAGUCUAUAUCAUUGAGAGCGUGGUAUAGUGUCACCACAAGAAGAUUGUGAUCGACCUCUUCCACCUGAAGAUCGUCGAUGACAUUGAUCGCUUCAACAACUAUUUGUGGGGUUGGAGAUGUUUCGAGGAUACCGCACACGUCUUCACCCUAUCACAUUCGAAGAGGAGGAGGAGGAGGUUCGUCAAUGGGAUGUACCCCAAUCUGUUCCGGGAGGUCGAUCAUGCGAAAUGGAAAGCAAUUGAAAUUGAGUGGCAAAAAAUAAAGCCCGGGUAAGAAUAGUAUGAUUUUAGUAUACUACGAUACCUCGUAUAUGCUUCGUUUAACAUUUUCUUUAUUUUUCAGAGCCAAUAGCAAGAUAGCCCGAAGGACGAUAUAUAACGCGUACAAGUGGUUCCACGAUAUUACCACUCAGGGGAUCUAGCUCGCAGACGAUGUAAAUAAAGUAGUGAUAUCAUUAAUUUUUUUAUACAUUAUGUUUGGUUUGGUUUGGUUUAUUAAAUGAAUUAACUCCUUUUUUUGUUUUCCUUGAUGUAUAUUCACGAUCGUUCCAUAUUCUUGGCCAAAUAAUAUUGAACACCGAGUUCUUCCGUGUCGUUAUCUUGAGUAUUAGUUGCUCCGGAUUAUGGAUAACGAGUAUACAGUGCCUGAGUAUAUGCUCGAGUGGGUCAUCAGCUAGUUGCCGAGUGUCAAGUAAAAGUCAUGGGAGAGUUGUACGCGUAUGUACAUUCUAGUUAUCAUGAAUCAUCACUGCAUUUGCUCUGGAGAUUGUAUUUAUUGACUCUACGAUAUAUGUGUACGACCCAGAUCAUUUAUUUCUGACACAGCGACAACUCGAGCUAAAUUUAGAACCGGUGGCUGUGAUCGUUCCUCUGAUGGCUACACAAACGGGAUUGACUGUAUAGGACAGACUAGCCAUUGUGUGGAACACAACGACGGCGAGACAAUCCAUAUGGUAAGUGUUUGUAAAUUUAAAAUUAGUUUUUACGUAAUUGGAAUCGAUCUAACACAUUAUUGUUCAUUGGUAGUAUGGACUGUGGUAUUUUCGCAAUCAAAUACAUUGAAUUUUUUAGUAUAGCACAUAAGGUUGAUGGAAUCAACCAAUCAUUGAUACAGAAUUGACGAAAUAAGUUAGCGUGUGACUUAUACGAAUUUAAUGGUGAUCCAC